rnacentral:rRNA from 1 species
GACAGAGGGUGCGAACGUUGUUCGGAAUUACUGGGCGUAAAGCGCGUGUAGGCGGCAGCGCAAGUCGGGCGUGAAAUCCCACGGCUCAACCGUGGAAGUGCACUCGAAACUGCGCAGCUAGAGCCCUGGAGAGGAAGGUGGAAUGCUUGGUGUAGAGGUGAAAUUCGUAGAUAUCGAGAGGAACACCGGUGGCGAAGGCGGCCAACUGGACAGAUACUGACGCUGAGACACGAAAGCGUGGGGAGCAAACAGG